rnacentral:tRNA from 1 species
AUCCCUGUGGCUCAGUUGGUAGAGCAUGGUGUUUGCAACGCAAUGGUGUUUGCAACGCCAGGGUUGUGGGUUCAAUUCCCAUGGGGGGCC